rnacentral:rRNA from 1 species
UACGAAGGGGGCUAGCGUUGCUCGGAAUUACUGGGCGUAAAGGGAGCGUAGGCGGACAGUUUAGUCAGAGGUGAAAGCCCAGGGCUCAACCUUGGAAUUGCCUUUGAUACUGACUGUCUUGAGUAUGGGAGAGGUUAGUGGAACUCCGAGUGUAGAGGUGAAAUUCGUAGAUAUUCGGAAGAACACCAGUGGCGAAGGCGGCUCACUGGCCCGUUACCGACGCUCAGGCGCGACAGCGUGGGGAGCAAACAGG